CAGUCGCCGCGGUAAUACGGAGGGUGCAAGCGUUAAUCGGAAUUACUGGGCGUAAAGCGCACGCAGGCGGUCUGACAAGUCAGAUGUGAAAUCCCCGGGCUUAACCUGGGAACUGCAUUUGAAACUGUCAGGCUGGAGUCUUGUAGAGGGGGGUGGAAUUCCAGGUGUAGCGGUGAAAUGCGUAGAGAUCUGGAGGAAUACCGGUGGCGAAGGCGGCCCCCUGGACAAAGACUGACGCUCAGGUGCGAAAGCGUGGGGAGCAAACAGGAUUAGAUAACCGCGUAGUCCCUGUCUCUUAUAC
rnacentral:rRNA from 1 species